GGUCUCAUUCUGCCGCCCAGGCUGGACUGCAUUGGUGCGAUCUCGGCUUACUGCAACCUCCGCCUCCUGGGUUCAAGCGAUCCACCUGCCUCAGCCUUGCAAAGUGCUGGAAUUACAGUGUGAUAGUGACAUCGCUCCUUGGAGAGGUGGGGCAUGCUCCAUGGCCUUGAACCUGGGUGAACCUUUGAAAUUGCCUCUGUUGGUCUAGUGCUGUGGAGAUGAUGCUGUGUGACUUCCAAGACUAGCUCAUAAAAGAUAUUCCGCUAUAAGCAAGAGAAAAGCGACUAAGACCCCCAGCCAGAAUCACCCAGUCAAGCAGCCCCCAAAUCCUGUCUCUUAGAAGCUGUAAAAGAUAAUAAAUGACAACUGUUGUUUUAGC